UACGAAGGAUGCAAGCGUUAUCCGGAUUUAUUGGGGUUAAAGGGUGCGUAGGCGGACUUAUAAGUCAGUGGUGAAAUCUCGUUGCUUAACAACGAACGUGCCAUUGAUACUGUAGGUCUUGAGUACAGAUGCCGUUGGCGGAAUGUGUCAUGUAGCGGUGAAAUGCAUAGAUAUGACACAGAACACCGAUUGCGAAGGCAGCUGACGAAACUGUAACUGACGCUGAGGCACGAAAGCGUGGGGAUCAAACAGG
rnacentral:rRNA from 1 species